CCUCAUCCCCUGCUGAAGACUGAAGAAUAGUAUCAGGUAUUGACUGUGGAAAUAGAUGGUGACCCCAAUUAGCUAAAUCUUCUUCUUUGGGCGUCCCCACCUUGAAAAAGGUUUCAAAUUUUUGAGUCCUCAAAAUAUAUCAUGUUAAUACAGAUUCUCAUUGAAGAAUUUUCCAACCUGUUUCUCCGAGCUUUUUAAUCUAUGUAAGCACCCAGAAACACUAGCAAAUCCCCCUAUAUCUUCUUCCUCAGAUUGAGAUGAUGGACUUCCAUAGCUUGUUUCAAGUUUGGCAUCCACUUGCAUCACAUAGUUUUGGCAACGAUUGCAGCUCAUCUUCUCAUGAAUUUCAGAUCUGCAUUGGUAUUACAACUGGGAAAAAUAAACCGCAAUGAAACUUAAGAUCAAAUGUCCAAAU
rnacentral:lncRNA from 1 species